ensembl:lncRNA
GUGCAUUGAAGACUGUGAAGAAGUUCUCGAUCUUCUCCCGGCACCCUGGAAAGAACACAGACAGGGUGAUCAUUAUCAUCCCUAUCCAUGAAUCCAUGCAUUCUGAAGGUAAGGUAUUGAGGACUUCAAAUGGAACCAAAGCUAGCUUAAAGUGUAAGUGAACCCCCAGUUUCAGCUCAAAUUUGAACACUGACAUAAAGAGAACUCAGGGAAGGUAGGGGAGAGGUGUAUCCCCGUGUUUUACGCCCACAGCGACUUCCUGAUACUUUUUUAAGCUAGUGCACAUCGUUAAGUCAGAGUGAUAUAAUGAGCCAUAUGAUAUUCGCCACACACCGUGGCGUUAGACAGUAGGCAUAUCCUCUUCUCGGACACAGCCAUCAACAUAAGCACUGCCCUAACUGAGCUCCACACAUCCACACCACCAUGGCAGUAGCAUCGCUCUCAGAGUUAGAAAUCAAGUGUCAUCAAAGUGCCACCGAAAAGCCAUUUUAACAUCACUAAAGGAACAGGACCCAAGUUUGGAGUAGAGUAGAAUGCUCAGAGCUCAGAGCAGAGUAGAACUGGCAGAAACAUUUGAUUUGUCACCAGGUUUUUCUGAAAUAACGCCAUUAACUUAGUAACGAUGACAAAAUGGCAUUGUGGGUACGUGCGACGACAAGCCUGCAGGGGGAGUAUGGGCAGGUUGGGAGCGCACCGGAUUGGCUGUGGGGGGUUGGACCCGAGUGCGAGCAGGUGUCAGCAGCACUCCAAUCAGGGAGUGUUUGUACUUAUGUGCCUGCUUUGUGUUUUAGUGGGAAGGGGGAAUCCAGAAAGGAUCGGGAGCGGAGAGACAGGGGCGAUCGCCGCCAGAGAUUGCAUUGAACGCACCCUGUGACCGCUUUGAGCGGAGUUAUAAUUUACCUUUAACCGAGUUAUGUUUUGAUGGACUUUGUUGGAGAGAAAAUAAAAGGACUUUCUGUUCAAAGAGCAAACCUGGUGUCCAAGCGCUCUGUGAACCCGUUACAGGCAUAAUUACUAUUUUGAAAAUCAUUGAAGACAUACUACACAAUUUGGGUAUAUAUAUACAUGAAAUAUGGAUUCACUGGCACUUUAAGGGCAUGAGGUGACACAGCCGUGCAUAUAUCAGGAUCUCGUUGCUAACCAUGUGAGCGCUUUGGUCGUAAAAGUCCGUCUGCGGCGUGAAAGAGUUCCUGCGCAUGGCGUUAGACAUCGGAGGCAGGGGCUGACCCUCGGGCUGGCCUAGGACAUGCUGAUCCAUCAUGGGCAUGUGUCCAGGGGAGGGGGGCGUGUGUGGGGACGGCUGACUCACCGGGUGUGGAGGCAUCGGAGUCAUUUGAUGGGGAGAGGGCUGGUUUACCGGAUAAGGGGCUUGGUUCGUCAGAUGGGGAGGUUGUUGGUUCAUCAGAUGGGGAGGUUGUUGGUUCAUCAGAUGGGGAGGUUGUUGGUUCAUCUGAUGGGGAGGUUGUUGGUUCAUCUGAUGGGGAGGUUGUUGGUUCAUCGGAUGGGGAGGUUGUUGGUUCAUCGGAUGGGGAGGUUGUUGAUUCAUCUGAUCGGGAGGUUGUUGGUUCAUCUGGGGGGGAGGAUGUUGGUUCAUCAGAUGGGGAGGUUGUUGGUUCAUCUGAUGGGGAGGUUGUUGGUUCAUCUGGGGAGGCAUGUGAGAGCCCAUGUGUCCCGGGUGAGGGGGCGAGGAGCUGGGCUGCUGCUGGAGAGGUGGAGGGUACAUGUCCGAGGGCUGGGGCUGCUGAGGCUCGUAGGGAGAGGGGCCGGAGUCGGGGACCUGCGGUAGGUAGCCUGCGGCCGGGCCGGGGGGCACGGGGUAGAACUGGUGGACCUCUGAUGGGUGGUGCUGUGGAACCAUGCCGUCUUGGAGGAUGGUAGUUGGGGCUGUAAGAGAACAUAUAGUGUAUUUAUAACACAUAUUUAGAUUUACAUGAAGAAAUAACCAAUAGCUCAAUAACUUGCUAACUUCAGUUAUAUGUAAGAUACAGAUGGUGGAUUUUAAGUAUAACACAA